AUGAAAAAAAUAAGAAUAAUACUUAGGAAAACAAGAGGGCUCUUCGCCCCUUCGGGCUUGAGCCCUAAAUAUAGCUGCAAGCAGCGAUGGCGGGCCCGAGCCGUCAGCGCAAACGCCACCCCGGUGGCAUCAGGUCCUGCAAAGUUCAGCUCCAACUCUAACCAGUCAAACCUACCUUUAAUUUUCAAGCGAACCCGAAGGCCUUAAUUAGUUGCUUCAGGUGUGUUUGAUAAGGGUUGGAGCUAAACUUUGCAGGACAGUCAAUCCCCAUUAACAGGGUUGGACAUCCCUGUGCUAGAGGGUUACUGUGUAUGUGCCCGCUGGGCACAGUUUUACUGUUGCCACCGGGGUGGCGUUUCUGCUGACAGCUUGGGCCCACCAUCGCUGCUUGCAGCUAUAUAUUUUUUUUCUUUUUCUUUAGACUAAACUGGCUUUUGGGGGGCCUUAACAUGCUCAAAAACUCUUGAAAAUUGGUACACACGUUGGAAUCUGCGGUCAUUAGGACUCCACAGAGACUGGGACCCGGGCGUGGCACAGGGGCUCUACGGCGCCCACUGGAACACAGUGAGAAAUCUUGAUGUAUAGCUCACACAUACUUACACAUAUAGAUCUCAUUGAGCCGAACAACUUUCGUGCUUCAUGUCAUAGGCUCCACCCAACAGGAAGUCGGCUAUUCAGGGCUGUUUAAAAAGCACAUGCUCUGGAAUUUGAUAUACUCCUCUGAGGACUUCCAACCGCUUGCCUCGAAACUUGGUGAACAUGAUCUCAAGACAUUGGGCAUGCAAAAUUGCCAAGGGAUUUUUGAUAUCUCGAACAGUUUGCCCAUGGUGAGACGAUGAAUUUAUGGCGAUAAAUGAGAAACAGUAAGUGUCUAAUAACAUCCACAUACAUUUUCUGAAUUUGAUCAAGUUUCAAGGGUUUGUUCAUUGUAUGAUGCCGAUCGCAUAGAUGUGACUAUUAUUACUGAAACUGAUAGCACCUGGUAUCAGGAAGGGAAUCAUUUUUAAAAUGCUUUGAAUUCAGCAUGUUAUUUUUACUCAAUUUGAUCCAAACUUCAUCAGAAUAAUGUCAAAACACGGCCGAUGUAAAACUGUGGAGGGGAUAUUGAUAUCUAAAAUAUCAUUGCCAUGGCAAUGUGUCAAACUUGAAUAUUCUUUUCCGGUGAUUUUAAGGCAGAUAACAUGCUUAGAAUUUAUUGAAACUAAACACGCAUAUCAGUAUUAAUGAUAAAUAGACACUGGCAAAAGCUCAUAAAGGGCGUAGAAGAGGCACUCCAUAGUGCCACCUUUUGACAAAACUUGGGGGUUUCAUUUUAGCUAUAAUCACCAAACUUGGUACAUACCGUAUAUUGUUCUCAUCAAUUUGGACAACUUUCUAAUU
ensembl:lncRNA